UUUUGUUUUUGUAAGUAUGUUGUGUAUCUUGUCAGUUGGAGUUGUGUCCUAAAUAGAGAGAAAAGAGAACAGACAAGAUGAAAAAAAAAAGAAAAAAUAAAUAAAAUAAAAUACAAAAAAACGAAAAAAUAAAUUGCGUGAAUAAUGGAGUCAAGAAGAGGAUUGAAUUAGAGGUUUUGGGUGUGAUUUGACUGUGUUUACAUUUGUUCCCCAUUGCUCCUUUAUUUCUUUUGGUUUAUAGCUUCUUAUCCAUAUUUAUCCUCCCUUAUCCUUGGCC
rnacentral:lncRNA from 1 species